AUUGUAAAUUAAUCACGUAAUUAUUAUCGUAUUCAUUGUGGACGUUGCGUAUUUAAAAGUGAGGAAAGCGUUUUGUAUGAAAUCCAUAGGCCUACAAGCGCAGUAAGUUAGUCCCUCACAGGGCUCGCACGUAAAUCGGCGGGAAACAGUGAGUGAGUUGUGUGUGGAAAGUCUGCUGUAUUUUAGAAAUACUCGUCAGAAAAAGCAACUGAGCUGCUAAAGAGGAGACAGCUUUGAAGGUCCUGCCAACUCUGCUUCCCCCAUCCAUCUACAGGAGAGGAGGAAAGGUCUUCAGACCCACCACAGAGGAGGCCCAGAAGUCAUUUAUUGACAUGCAACCUGUUGGGACCAUGAGAUGACUGGAGCAUUGCUGCACAUUCUGUGCCUCAGUGAUGAGACAAGGGGGACAUCACAGACCUCUGCCAUUAUUCCAUGCCACGCCAUUGAGACUGAGUCUUUGUUGGAGGUGGAUAAUCUUUGCUUUAAAGCUUUUUUUGUUUUUGAUGUUCAGUACACCAAGCAGUGUCUCCCCACCUGGGAGUUUCUCCAGCAUGCUGUAUAUCAAAUUGAAGGAAAAGAGUCCUCCUCUGUAAAGUUUUUGAGGACAACAGUGGUUUCAGGCCCACAUCGUAUGAGAGUUCAAAUUAGUUGUUUAAUGACUUUUAAUGCCUGAAUAUUUGGACAGAUUUACAUUUGUUAUAAAGUCUGUGGGGAAGGGUGAAUGUCAGAGGGUGUGUGGGUGGGGGUUG